rnacentral:rRNA from 1 species
GACGAACGCUGGCGGCGUGCUUAACACAUGCAAGUCGAACGGAAAGGCCCUGCUUUUGUGGGGUGCUCGAGUGGCGAACGGGUGAGUAACACGUGAGUAACCUGCCCUUGACUUUGGGAUAACUUCAGGAAACUGGGGCUAAUACCGGAUAGGAGCUCCUGCUGCAUGGUGGGGGUUGGAAAGUUUCGGCGGUUGGGGAUGGACUCGCGGCUUAUCAGCUUGUUGGUGGGGUAGUGGCUUACCAAGGCUUUGACGGGUAGCCGGCCUGAGAGGGUGACCGGCCACAUUGGACUGAGAUACGGCCCAGACUCCUACGGGAGGCAACAGUGGGGAAUAUUGCACAAUGGGCGGAAGCCUGAUGCAGCAACGCCGCGUGCGGGAUGACGGCCUUCGGGUUGUAAACCGCUUUCGCCUGUGACGAAGCGUGAGUGACGGUAAUGGGUAAAGAAGCACCGGCUAACUACGU